UACGGAGGGUGCGAACGUUAAUCGGAAUCACUGGGCGUAAAGCGCGCGUAGGCGGUUUGUUAAGUGGGAUGUGAAAUCCCCGGGCUUAACCUGGGAAUUGCAUUUCAAACUGGCCGACUAGAGUACGGUAGAGGGAGGUAGAAUUUCCUGUGUAGCGGUGAAAUGCGUAGAUAUAGGAAGGAAUACCAGUGGCGAAGGCGGGUCUCUGGGCCAUAACUGACGCUGAGGAGCGAAAGCGUGGGGAGCGAACAGG
rnacentral:rRNA from 1 species